rnacentral:lncRNA from 1 species
GUUAACAAACAUGCCACCUAGACUAACGUGACUGACACGUGUACAUAUUUUACUGACAAGGCUGACACCUUGGACACAUUUUUGUUACCCAAAAAAUUGAGAUCCAUUUUCUCUCCAUAAACCCAAAUUCUUUUUUAUCUCCCAUCUCCUUCAUCUAUUCUCUCUUUCCUCCGUCUUCAUCAUUUCUUGAUUCCAACGAGUUUCUGCUGUUUGAUGGCCCUUCAUCAAAUUGGGAAGAAAAACCUAAAACCACACAAUUUCUCUUAUCAAUAUCAUUUUCUCUCUCCUAAAUUCCUUUUAAAUGAAUAAG